rnacentral:misc_RNA from 1 species
AUCAGAACUGCAGCUCGAUAUCUGUAAGGGUAAACUCUAAGAGGAUCUAGACGAGUGACCAUCUCUAGGUCAGCCUUUGUGCGGUCACGGUCACAGUAUUCUGAUCUCUUCUCGUAGGCAGAUGCAUUAUUCUUGGCCUUCUCAAUCAGUUUGGUCAUUUCAUCAUAAGCAGCCACCUUAUCAUUUCUCAAGAAAUGUACACGAGCAAGACCUUGGUGAGCCCGGGUAUGCCGGAUUUUAAGGGCAUUAAUGUAGCAAUCAGCUGCAGCAUCCAAUUUACCGCAGUCGACAUACACACUGCCAAGAUUGUUCAGGGCCUGACCUUUGCGAAGCCUAUCUGAAGGGCAUCGCAAGGCAUCCUCAAGAAGUGAUAUGACAGUUGAUGAACAAGAUGCAUCAAGGCUAGAGUCAGCUAAAGCAUACGCUUUCAGGAAGAAUGCUUCAAAAGAUCUCUUGAUGCUAAUGGACUCUUCUGCUUUCUGUAGACCUUCUUCACAGUGUCCAGUAUCAUAUAAGAUCCAUCCCUCAUAAACCAGACGUUCAUGUUCACUAGAUGAAUGCUGGCGAGCCAACUGUAAACUCCUCAUGGCUGCAUCUGGACAAUUCAAUCGGAGGAGAAGCAGGGACUGUCUGAAGUAAAGAACACCUUUUGCUGCAUCAGACUCGAGCAUCUGGUAUAUUACUGAAAGAGAUCCAAUAUCAUCAACUGACGACCAUCUAUCAUACAACUGCAGCCAACAAUCAGC